UAGUGGUUAGAGUGUUGGGCCAGGUAGACUAGUGGUUAGAGCGUUGGGCCAGGUAGACUAGUGGUUAGAGCGUUGGGCCAGGUAGACUAGUGGUUAGAGCGUUGGGCCAGGUAGACUAGUGGUUAGAGCGUUGGGCCAGGUAGACUAGUGGUUAGAGCGUUGGGCCAGGUAGACUAGUGGUUAGAGCUUUGGGACAGGUAGACUAGUGGUUAGAGCGUUGGGCCAGGUAGACUAGUGGUUAGAGCGUUGGGCCAGGUAGACUAGUGGUUAGAGCGUUGGGCCAGGUAGACUAGUGGUUAGAGCGUUGGGCCAGGUAGACUAGUGGUUAGAGCUUUGGGCCAGGUAGACUAGUGGUUAGAGCGUUGGGCCAGGUAGACUAGUGGUUAGAGCGUUGGGCCAGGUAGACUAGUGGUUAGAGCGUUGGGCCAGGUAGACUAGUGGUUAGAGCUUUGGGCCAGGUAGACUAGUGGUUAGAGCGUUGGGCCAGGUAGACUAGUGGUUAGAGCGUUGGGCCAGGUAGACUAGUGGUUAGAGCUUUGGGCCAGGUAGACUAGUGGUUAGAGCGUUGGGCCAGGUAGACUAGUAGUUAGAGCUUUGGGCCAGGUAGACUAGUGGUUAGAGCGUUGGGCCAGGUAGACUAGUGGUUAGAGCUUUGGGACAGGUAGACUAGUGGUUAGAGCGUUGGGCCAGGUAGACUAGUGGUUAGAGCGUUGGGCCAGGUAGACUAGUGGUUAGAGCUUUGGGCCAGGUAGACUAGUGGUUAGAGCGUUGGGCCAGGUAGACUAGUAGUUAGAGCUUUGGGCCAGGUAGACUAGUGGUUAGAGCGUUGGGCCAGGUAGACUAGUAGUUCGAGCUUUGGGCCAGGUAGACUAGUGGUUAGAGCAUUGGGCCAGGUGGACUAGUGGUUAGAGCUUUGGGCCAGGUAGACUAGUGGUUCGAGCGUUGGGCCAGGUAGACUAGUGGUUAGAGCGUUGGGCUAGUAACUGAAAAGUUGCUGGAUCGAAUCUCCGUGCUGACAAGAUAAAAAUCUGCUGGAUCUGCCCCUAAACAAGGCAGUUAGCCCACUGUUCCCUGGUACGUCAUCAUUGUAAAUAAGAGUUUGUUCUUAACUGACUUGCUAAAUAAUUAAAAAUAUAUAUUUUCAAGCCUAUAUUAAAAUAGUGUAAUGGUAUUUCUCUAGAUGUCUGAUAAUGUAAUGGUAUUUCUCUAGAUGUCUAAUUUUAUUGCACUAGGCCUGGGUAACUGUAAUGAACACGAGAGGAGACAGAGAGCUGGUUUCAAUUGCAGGGCGCAGAAGGUGUUUAUUGCAAAGGACCACAGGAGCAGGCAGGUAGCUGGGUCCAGGGGCAGGCAGAAGGUCAUACACAGGCGUUCCAAAAGGGCAACAGUACAGGCAGGGAAAAGGCUAGUAGUGGAGUUCGGGAGAUCAGGCAAUAGGUAGAUAACAGGAAAUCCGAUAAAGUACAGGCAGAGAAAAGGCAGAAAGGAGUCGUUGGUGAGGCAGGCAAAAACUAUCAUACACAGGAGGCGUACACAGGAAACCCAGCGCUCUGCAAGACGUGUGUCACAAAACAAACAAUACCUCACAGGGAUGGGGUGCAAAGAACUGAACAGCGGUGCCGACAGAGAUGGCCGCCUCGCUUCGCGUUCCUAGGAAACUAUGCAGUUUUUUGUUUUUUUACGUGUUAUUUCUUACAUUAGUACCCCAGGUCAUCUUAGGUUUCAUUACAUACAGUAGAGAUGAACUACUGAAUCCUUCCUGUUUGGCCCUGUCCGGGGGUGUCCUUGGAUGGGGCCACAGUGUCUCCUGACCCCUCCUGUCUCAGCCUCUCCAGUAUUUAUGCUGCAGUAGUUUAUGUGUCGGGGGGCUAGGGUCAGUUUGUUAUAUCUGGAGUACUUCUCCUGUCCUAUUCGGUGUCCUGUGUGA